rnacentral:rRNA from 1 species
UACGUAGGUCCCGAGCGUUGUCCGGAUUUAUUGGGCGUAAAGCGAGCGCAGGCGGUUAGAUAAGUCUGAAGUUAAGGGCUGUGGCUUAACCAUAGUACGCUUUGGAAACUGUUUAACUUGAGUGCAAGAGGGGAGAGUGGAAUUCCAUGUGUAGCGGUGAAAUGCGUAGAUAUAUGGAGGAACACCGGUGGCGAAAGCGGCUCUCUGGCUUGUAACUGACGCUGAGGCUCGAAAGCGUGGGGAGCAAACAGG